rnacentral:rRNA from 1 species
UACGAAGGUCCCAAGCGUUGUUCGGAAUCACUGGGCGUAAAGCGUGUGUAGGCUGCGCGGAAAGUCAAAUGUGAAAGCCCGGGGCUCAACCUCGGAACUGCAUUCGAUACUCCCGUGCUAGAGUAAUGGAGAGGUAAGUGGAAUUCCCGGUGUAGCAGUGAAAUGCGUGGAUAUCGGGAGGAACAUCAAUGGCGAAGGCAACUUACUGGACAUUUACUGACGCUCAGACACGAAGGCUAGGGGAGCGAAAGGG